GAUGAACGCUGGCGGCGUGCUUAACACAUGCAAGUCGAACGAUGAACCGGGUGCUUGCACUCGGGGAUUAGUGGCGAACGGGUGAGUAACACGUGAGCAACCUGCCCCUGACUCUGGGAUAAGCGCUGGAAACGGCGUCUAAUACUGGAUAUGUCCCGUCACCGCAUGGUGUGCGGGUGGAAAGAUUUUUCGGUUGGGGAUGGGCUCGCGGCCUAUCAGCUUGUUGGUGAGGUAAUGGCUCACCAAGGCGUCGACGGGUAGCCGGCCUGAGCGUGUGACGGGCCUCAAUGGGACUGAUAUACGGCCCAGACUCCUACGGGAGGCAGCAGUGGGGAAUAUUGGACAAUGGGCGGGAGCCUGGGGCAGCAACGCAGCGUGAGGGAUGCCGGCCUUCGGGUUGUAGACCUCUUUUAGCAUGGAAGAAGCGAGAGUGACGGUACCUGCAGAAAAGGCACCGGCUAACUACGUGCAAGCAGCCGCUGUAA
rnacentral:rRNA from 1 species